rnacentral:rRNA from 1 species
UACGUAGGGUGCAAGCGUUAAUCGGAAUACUGGGCGUAAAGCGUGCGCAGGCGGUGAUGUAAGACCGAUGUGAAAUCCCCGGGCUUAACCUGGGAACUGCAUUGGUGACUGCAUUGCUGGAGUAUGGCAGAGGGGGGUGGAAUUCCACGUGUAGCAGUGAAAUGCGUAGAGAUGUGGAGGAACACCGAUGGCGAAGGCAGCCCCCUGGGCCAAUACUGACGCUCAUGCACGAAAGCGUGGGGAGCAAACAGG